CGGGUGAGUAACACGUGGAUAACCUACCUAUAAGACUGGGAUAACUUCGGGAAACCGGAGCUAAUACCGGAUAAUAUAUUGAACCGCAUGGUUCAAUAGUGAAAGACGGUUUUGCUGUCACUUAUAGAUGGAUCCGCGCUGCAUUAGCUAGUUGGUAAGGUAACGGCUUACCAAGGCAACGAUGNGUAGCCGACCUGAGAGGGUGAUCGGCCACACUGGAACUGAGACACGGUCCAGACUCCUACGGGAGGCAGCAGAG
rnacentral:rRNA from 1 species